rnacentral:lncRNA from 1 species
UAGAAUCAUCAACUGUGGGGCAAGAGAAGACCUGAGAAAUAUAACUAUUCUCUUAGCAACAGGGAGCAACAGAAGCAAGAUGAAAGAUGAUGAAAUCAAGCCUCUUUAGCCUAAGAACCACUAGCAGUGAGAAGAGAGGUUUGGGGUGAGAAAGCAGAUGCAUGGAACACUGGCCCAUUUACUUCCAAAAAUAUUAAAUCCCUUUUCACAACUGAUCACUCAACUGAGCGAUUAAGGUGCUCACUAUCUGUUGGAGUUUGUUUUCCAAAAAGCCUGAGCACUCAUGGAAGUACCUUAUGGGAACUUCCUUAGGGAUGACCUUGCUUAAUAGGUAAACCUGCUUAAUCG